AACGAACGCUGGCGGCAUGCCUAACACAUGCAAGUCGAACGAGACCUUCGGGUCUAGUGGCGCACGGGUGCGUAACGCGUGGGAACCUGCCCUUAGGUUCGGAAUAACUCCCCGAAAGGGGUGCUAAUACCGGAUAAUGUCUUCGGCCCAAAGAUUUAUCGCCUUUGGAUGGGCCCGCGUUGGAUUAGCUCGUUGGUAGGGUAAAAGCCUACCACGGCGACGAUCCAUAGCUGGUCUGAGAGGAUGAUCAGCCACACUGGGACUGAGACACGGCCCAGACUCCUACGGGAGGCAGCAGUGGGGAAUAUUGGACAAUGGGCGAAAGCCUGAUCCAGCAAUGCCGCGUGAGUGAUGAAGGCCUUAGGGUUGUAAAGCUCUUUUACCCGGGAUGAUAAUGACAGUACCGGGAGAAUAAGCUCCGGCUAACUCCGUG
rnacentral:rRNA from 1 species